GACGGAGGGCGCAAGCGUUGUUCGGAAUUACUGGGCGUAAAGCGCGGGCAGGCGGUCUGUUAAGUCGCUUGUGAAAAUCCGGGGCUCAACCCCGGAAAUGCGUACGAUACUGGCAGGCUGGAGACUGGUAGAGGCUAGCGGAAUUCCUGGUGUAGCGGUGGAAUGCGUAGAUAUCGGGAGGAACACCAGUGGCGAAGGCGACUACCUGGCCUGCUCUUGACGCUGAGGCGCGAAAGCUAGGGGAGCAAACGGG
rnacentral:rRNA from 1 species